UAUAAAAACAUUUCUUGUCCGGUGGCGACUCACUGUGGCGCGCUCCUGAAGCGUAGCGGUCGCUAUGGAGCUGUUGGGCAAGUACAUCGGACUGGAAGGGCAGCGACAGCAGCUGCGGGUGCCUUGUGAGGCGCCGGGCGUCACCGACCCUUUCCAGAGCUUGUUGUCCGGUGUGGCUCAGAUGAGGGAGCUGGUGACUGAGCUCUUCGGCUCUCAGGUACAGCCGGAAGCACAGGACCGGGGGACGGCGGCUCCCAACGAGGCCUUGGACGGUGAUGAUGAAGAUGAUUCAGAAGAUGAAAAUAACACUGAUAACAGAACUAAUUCAGAUGGACCAUCUGCAAAACGGCAAAAACCAUCUUAACUAGCUUUUAUGAAAUUUAAGAGACUGCUACCAUAAUUUAUUUUACCACACACUGACAUUUAAGGAACUUGUGCUCUAAUUUGGAAAGUGUUUGUUUUUUGCCCUGGGACAGUUUUGUCAAAGAGGAAACUUUUCUGUGUUCAUCAAAGAAAGACAUAAAUGCAUAGAAAUGAAUCCCUUUUCUUGGGUGAGAAGUCAGUUUCAGAUCAUGGAAAUUAGACAUUUAAUAAUGUGUGAUAUCCAGUAAGUUGGCAACUGAAUUCUUACUUUAUACUUUUUAAAUACCCAUUGGAUUAAAUUGUGUGGUGUCCACAUGUUUUAGCUUCUGCUUCUGUUAUGAAAAUACAUGUCAAGGUUUAUGGACAAUAACAUUUCAAGGAACUGACAUGAGCAAGUGAUGAAAAUGAGGUGUUAAAUUUAAAAAUGGCAGGUGCUUCCUUGGUGGUCAAGUGGCUAAGACUCUGCAUUCCCAAUGCAGGGGGCCUAGGUUCCUUCCCUGGUCGGGGAACUAGAUCCUGCACGCUGCAGCUAGAGUUUGCAUGCCACAACUAAAGACCCAGCAUGACGAAAUGAAGACUGAAGAUUCUGCACAUGCCACAACUAAGACCUGGUGCGGCCAAAUAAAUUUAUUAGUUAAUUUAAAUUUAAGAAUGGCAAUUCCAUGUACAUAGAAGGAAAAUGGGAAUAGUGAGAAAUAUUGAAGGGAAGGAGAGCCCUUGAGAGAGACCCAAGAAAAUCUUGAAUCCACACCUGAACUCAAUAUACAGACUUCUGGAGAUGAUACCACUCAACAGAUAGAUGUUUAACUUGUACCUUAAGAGAGUCAAAUUGGGGUGUGCUUUUAUGCUGGUGAUACGCUGUUUAUGUUAACACAGGUAUAAGUCUUUAGGUAAGCAACCUGUGUUGACUGUAACUUAAGAUAUUUCAUGUCAUUCUGUAGUCAGACUUUGAUUUUGCUUAACAAGGAACUGUCAGAUCCUUUAAAUACAUAUAUGUAUAUAUUCCUAAAAAAAAAAAUAAA